rnacentral:rRNA from 1 species
CGAACUGUGCAAACGUUAUUCGGAAUCACUGGGCUUACAGGGUGCGUAGGCGGUCUGUUAAGUAGGGUGUGAAAGCCCCCGGCUCAACCGGGGGAAUUGCGCCCUAAACUGGCGGACUGGAGUGAGAUAGGGGUGUGCGGAACUUCCGGUGGAGCGGUGAAAUGUGUUGAUAUCGGAAGGAACGCCGGUGGCGAAAGCGGCACACUGGAUCUCAACUGACGCUGAGGCACGAAAGCCAGGGGAGCGAACGGGAUUAGACUACCCCGGUAGUCCUGGCUGUAAACGAUGAGCACUAGCUGGGAGGGACGUAGGUCCUUCCCAACGGAGCGAAAGUGUUAAGUGCUCCGCCUGGGGAGUAGUGGUCGCAAGGCUG